AAAUCAUUUGAAGAUAUUCACCAUUAUAGAGAACAAAUUAAAAGAGUUAAGGACUCUGAAGAUGUACCUAUGGUCCUAGUAGGAAAUAAAUGUGAUUUGCCUUCUAGAACAGUAGACACAAAACAGGCUCAGGACUUAGCAAGAAGUUAUGGAAUUCCUUUUAUUGAAACAUCAGCAAAGACAAGACAGGGUGUUGAUGAUGCCUUCUAUACAUUAGUUCGAGAAAUUCGAAAACAUAAAGAAAAGAUGAGCAAAGAUGGUAAAAAGAAGAAAAAGAAGUCAAAGACAAAGUGUGUAAUUAUGUAAAUACAAUUUGUACUUUUUUCUUAAGGCAUACUAGUACAAGUGGUAAUUUUUGUACAUUACACUAAAUUAUUAGCAUUUGUUUUAGCAUUACCUAAUUUUUUUCCUGCUCCAUGCAGACUGUUAGCUUUUACCUUAAAUGCUUAUUUUAAAAUGACAGUGGAAGUUUUUUUUUCCUCUAAGUGCCAGUAUUCCCAGAGUUUUGGUUUUUGAACUAGCAAUGCCUGUGAAAAAGAAACUGAAUACCUAAGAUUUCUGUCUUGGGGCUUUUGGUGCAUGCAGUUGAUUACUUCUUAUUUUUCUUACCAAUUGUGAAUGUUGGUGUGAAACAAAUUAAUGAAGCUUUUGAAUCAUCCCUAUUCUGUGUUUUAUCUAGUCACAUAAAUGGAUUAAUUACUAAUUUCAGUUGAGACCUUCUAAUUGGUUUUUACUGAAACAUUGAGGGAACACAAAUUUAUGGGCUUCCUGAUGAUGAUUCUUCUAGGCAUCAUGUCCUAUAGUUUGUCAUCCCUGAUGAAUGUAAAGUUACACUGUUCACAAAGGUUUUGUCUCCUUUCCACUGCUAUUAGUCAUGGUCACUCUCCCCAAAAUAUUAUAUUUUUUCUA
rnacentral:lncRNA from 1 species